rnacentral:rRNA from 1 species
GGGUUGUGAGGUUAAGCGACUAAGCGUACACGGUGGAUGCCCUGGCAGUCAGAGGCGAUGAAGGACGUGCUAAUCUGCGAUAAGCGUCGGUGAGGUGAUAUGAACCGUUAUAACCGGCGAUUUCCGAAUGGGGAAACCCAGUGUGUUUCGACACACUAUCAUUAACUGAAUCCAUAGGUUAAUGAGGCGAACCGGGGGAACUGAAACAUCUAAGUACCCCGAGGAAAAGAAAUCAACCGAGAUUCCCCCAGUAGCGGCGAGCGAACGGGGAGCAGCCCAGAGCCUGAAUCAGUGUGUGUGUUAGUGGAAGCGUCUGGAAAGGCGCGCGAUACAGGGUGACAGCCCCGUACACAAAAAUGCACAUGCUGUGAGCUCGAUGAGUAGGGCGGGACACGUGGUAUCCUGUCUGAAUAUGGGGGGACCAUCCUCCAAGGCUAAAUACUCCUGACUGACCGAUAGUGAACCAGUACCGUGAGGGAAAGGCGAAAAGAACCCCGGCGAGGGGAGUGAAAAAGAACCUGAAACCGUGUACGUACAAGCAGUGGGAGCCUCUUUAUGGGGUGACUGCGUACCUUUUGUAUAAUGGGUCAGCGACUUAUAUUCUGUAGCAAGGUUAACCGAAUAGGGGAGCCGAAGGGAAACCGAGUCUUAACUGGGCGUUAAGUUGCAGGGUAUAGACCCGAAACCCGGUGAUCUAGCCAUGGGCAGGUUGAAGGUUGGGUAACACUAACUGGAGGACCGAACCGACUAAUGUUGAAAAAUUAGCGGAUGACUUGUGGCUGGGGGUGAAAGGCCAAUCAAACCGGGAGAUAGCUGGUUCUCCCCGAAAGCUAUUUAGGUAGCGCCUCGUGAAUUCAUCUCCGGGGGUAGAGCACUGUUUCGGCAAGGGGGUCAUCCCGACUUACCAACCCGAUGCAAACUGCGAAUACCGGAGAAUGUUAUCACGGGAGACACACGGCGGGUGCUAACGUCCGUCGUGAAGAGGGAAACAACCCAGACCGCCAGCUAAGGUCCCAAAGUCAUGGUUAAGUGGGAAACGAUGUGGGAAGGCCCAGACAGCCAGGAUGUUGGCUUAGAAGCAGCCAUCAUUUAAAGAAAGCGUAAUAGCUCACUGGUCGAGUCGGCCUGCGCGGAAGAUGUAACGGGGCUAAACCAUGCACCGAAGCUGCGGCAGCGACGCUUAUGCGUUGUUGGGUAGGGGAGCGUUCUGUAAGCCUGCGAAGGUGUGCUGUGAGGUAUGCUGGAGGUAUCAGAAGUGCGAAUGCUGACAUAAGUAACGAUAAAGCGGGUGAAAAGCCCGCUCGCCGGAAGACCAAGGGUUCCUGUCCAACGUUAAUCGGGGCAGGGUGAGUCGACCCCUAAGGCGAGGCCGAAAGGCGUAGUCGAUGGGAAACAGGUUAAUAUUCCUGUACUUGGUGUUACUGCGAAGGGGGGACGGAGAAGGCUAUGUUGGCCGGGCGACGGUUGUCCCGGUUUAAGCGUGUAGGCUG